rnacentral:rRNA from 1 species
CUACGGGGUGCACCAGUGAGGAAUUUUGCGCAAUGGGCGAAAGCCUGACGCAGCAACGCCGCGUGAGUGAUGAAGGCCUUCGGGUCGUAAAGCUCUGUCAAGUGGGAAGAACCUAUGUAAUGUUAAUAUCAUUAUAUACUGACGGUACCACUGAAGGAAGCACCGGCUAACUCCGUGCCAGCAGCCGCGGUAAUACGGGGGGUGCAAGCGUUAUUCGGAAUCAUUGGGCGUAAAGGGCACGUAGGCGGCCUGGUAAGUCAGAUGUGAAAGCCCGGGGCUUAACCCGGGAAGUGCAUUUGAUACUGUCAGGCUUGAGUAUGGGAGAGGGAAGUGGAAUUCCUGGUGUAGAGGUGAAAUUCGUAGAUAUCAGGAGGAACACCGGUGGCGAAGGCGACUUCCUGGACCAAUACUGACGCUGAGGUGCGAAGGCGUGGGUAGCAAACAGGAUUAGAUACCCUAGUAGUC